GAUGAACGCUGGCGGCGUGCCUAAUUCAUGCAAGUCGAGCGAACGGACGAGAAGCUUGCUUCUCUGAUGUUAGCGGCGGACGGGUGAGUAACACGUGGAUAACCUACCUAUAAGACUGGGAUAACUUCGGGAAACCGGAGCUAAUACCGGAUAAUAUUUUGAACCGCAUGGUUCAAAAGUGAAAGGCGGUCUUGCUGUCACUUAUAGAUGGAUCCGCGCUGCAUUAGCUAGUUGGUAAGGUAACGGCUUACCAAGGCAACGAUGCAUAGCCGACCUGAGAGGGUGAUCGGCCACACUGGAACUGAGACACGGUCCAGACUCCUACGGGAGGCAGCAGUAGGGAAUCUUCCGCAAUGGGCGAAAGCCUGACGGAGCAACGCCGCGUGAGUGAUGAAGGUCUUCGGAUCGUAAAACUCUGUUAUUAGGGAAGAACAUAUGUGUAAGUAACUGUGCACAUCUUGACGGUACCUAAUCAGAAAGCCACGGCUAACUACGUG
rnacentral:rRNA from 1 species